rfam:Cicer arietinum chromosome Ca6, whole genome shotgun sequence.
UGCAAUCUAUGAUGCAACUAUUUCCUUUAAUAUCUGAUUGUAAUGUGAUUAUUUAACAAAUAUCACCAUCUUUCGGCUGAGGUUGCA